UUGCUCGUGCACGCGCAUGCAAGGGCGAGAGAAAUUACACGAGGCCUGCGUACCAGUUAAACAUAAUUUUAAUAAAUUUAAGGCGUUUUUAUUUAUUUCUGUAAAAAUUACAAAGUUAUCUGCAAUGUAUAAAAAAUAGGUUCAUGUUUUUAGAUUAAAGCAACUGCGUGCAAUUGCUAUCGUAAUAAGAACAUUUGAGAGAAAUUUUAAGAAAUCUUUAGGCGGUUGUUUUACAUACAAGGUUCAAAGUAAAUGCUGUCAAGUUGACAUACAACGUUUUACAUAAGAGACUACGCAAUGAACUGGUAUUUGGAAAGGAAAGUCACGUGGAAAACGAGUGACGACACUACAAAACAUUUCCUUUUAUGUUCCCAAAAAUAUGGGUUGAGAAUGUUAUAAGGUGUAUACUUCAUUAGGCCUCAACAAGCCACCCAGUUUGAUAUUUCAUUCAUGUCCAUGUCACAAACAGAGCAGACGUUGCAGUUUCAGUACUUUGGGUUACAGGUAUGUUUAAAUCUCUAAUCCAAAGUAUGAGCAAUAUCAUGCAUUCCUUAUGCAGUGUAAAUCAUUUGCAGCAGAGUAUUUUGUUUAUUUACAAUAACAAUAGGCAACACGAGUGACUGUUGGCGAUGCAACCACGUUGGGUAUAGUUUAACUUCAUGCAAAUGAACAGAGAUGCAGUUCAAAGACUUGAACUACGAGUGUAUCUGCCUAAAGCUAUUUGACUCUUUGGUCUGCCUAGUACAAUGGACAGCAGUCAAAUAGCACAGC